GGAUCGGAUAAGACAAAGAGCGACGAGAGGGAGAGGGAAAUAGAAGUAAAAAUAGAAGUAAAACGCGAAGGAAAUUCGCUACACGUGUUCGUCGUUCGUUUUCCAUGGAACGCAAAGGAAAGAAGUAACAAAAGAGCGGAGGUUCAGCGAAGAGGAGAUACCGUGAGCCAAUCGAGCCAAUCGAGAUAAAAUGGUGGCACGGUAAACGAAAGAAAGUGAUUAGACGCAUCGUGUGUGACAGUAUAUCGCUGUGUGCCUCGCACAAGUUCCGAUCACAUGGAUCACGUGGUAGUCAGUCCGUGCCCCUUCUCCUCCUGACCGCAAAGGUUCUAUCGGUGGGCGGUGGGGAUGUCAACUGUGACGGGGAGGGAUGUAGAAAAGGAGAAGUGGUAGAUACGAUUUCUAGGAUAGAAGAAGAGAAGAGGAUGAGAAAAACAGAGAAAAGUCAAAGAGGAUAUUACUUCGACAUUGAUGACAAUCAGGGCAAUGGACGCGUGAUGCCGCGUCUGACCGCAAGCUCGUUACGCCUGUCGGAAGUAUAAAUCAACCGCAAAGUUAUUCCACCAUGCUGUCGAGAACUCCCCGUAGGGCGCCUCUCGCUGGAAACUGCUACCACUUUCUUGUCCUCCACCUUGUUGAUAUCGUUCGCGCAGAAAAUGAUCAUCUUUCGCUUAAGAUAAAGUGAUAGGAUGACAAGGAUAUUUAUACCGACGUGCUCAUUCAUUUCGUCAGUCGGGAAUGUGACGGACCGCACCCGCGGUGAACUCUCAGCGUCAAUGAACCGUCACGAAUUUGCUGUAGCUGCCAAUCUACCGUGACUUAACGAGAUCGGCGCACCCGCGAGUCAACAUCUCUCCACCGGGAGAUCAUCGUGUUUUCGUUAGGAACGAGAUCGCCCUUUGUCGAUGUCUCGUAAGCCUAUCCAGCCUCCUCUUCCAGCUUCCAUCUCCCGCGCGACUCCAUCUUCCAGACGUCAUCGUUGCCGACAUCCCGUUGUAGUCCGCGGAUGGACAGCGAUCGAAAUUAGGAAGAUAGCAACUAAGAAAUGGAGAAAGGCCAAAAAGGCAAUAAUCAGUAAGGCAACUGCAAGAGGAUACUCUUAACUUCGAGAAACGAAUUUAUUCUUCGCGCAAUUUCCGUUCCACGAGUUUAGUAAAGUAUCUUACGCUUCGUUCGAACAAUAAAUAAAUAUUCCAACUCA
rnacentral:misc_RNA from 1 species